rnacentral:rRNA from 1 species
UAGGGAAUCUUCGGCAAUGGACGGAAGUCUGACCGAGCAACGCCGCGUGAGUGAAGAAGGUUUUCGGAUCGUAAAGCUCCGUUGUUAGAGAACGUUGGUAGGAGUGGAAAAUAUACAAAGUGACGGUAACUAACCAGAAAGGGACGGCUAACUACGUGCCAGCAGCCGCGGUAAUACGUAGGUCCCGAGCGUUGUCCGGAUUUAUUGGGCGUAAAGCGAGCGCAGGCGGUUCUUUAAGUCUGAAGUUAAAGGCAGUGGCUUAACCAUUGUACGCUUUGGAAACUGGACGACUUGAGUGCAGAAGGGGGGAGUGGUAUUCCAUGUGUAGCGGUGAUAUGCGUAGAUAUAUGGAGGAACACCGGUGGCGAAAGCGGCUCUCUGGUCUGUCACUGACGCUGAGGCUCGAGAGCGUGGGGAGCAAACAGG